ensembl:ncRNA F15A8.9 ncRNA
CCCCCACACACAGGGUCGAUGGGACCAUCCUUCUUCUUCUCUCUCACUCCCAUCCUAGGUCGCCCAUCCUAUUUCGUGUUCACAAAGUGCUUGACCACAAAAAAGGUAAUAGAAUAGAUACAAUCGAGGAGCUCGAGAAACAUUU